CAUGGUAGCAAAGGACGACGCUGUUUACGUUUUACUAACCUUAAAGUCCUCGACACUUUAGUCGUUUGUCAUCGCAAUAGACACAGUUCGCGAACGUAGAAUACACACCAAAAAAAAUUCUUUAUCGACAUCGACAAUACGUUAACUUUCGUUCUCACCACGUCCAUGUGUUUCGAGAUCUUGGCCAGAUGGAACACGUAUACAUAGACAGCACCUUAACAACACUAUAACGAGACAAUAGAACAGUAACAAUUUUGAAAUAAAAGAGACGUUACGAAGAGGGAAUAAACAAAUCUUUCAGAUGAAUUGUAUAAUAAGUGUAUAAUACAUGUAGUAUCAGUGUAUGAUACUUAGUGAUUUGCAUUGUGUUCAAACUGCGAUAUCCAGCGGAGACAGUGCGAAUUAAAAAUUAAAGAAAGCAUAAAGAGUUAGUUCGGACACAUACACUUGUUCAUCUCGAGAUUAUCUAACUAGGCUAUGACUUUAUUGUGCAUUUUGAGCCUAAAAAGUGAUUCUGGGAUUCAAAUAAAUUCGACUGUCAAAUUUUUUCGAAACCCUUAGGCUUUUCAUCAAUCUUGGAAAUUCAGUUCCGACGAAAUAUGGAAAAAGUUACAGGCAAUAUUGCAUUCUACAGAGCCGAGGUGUUCAAACUGUCGCGAAUAGAUCAGCGGAUCAACCAAUCACGUUAUUGUCUUUCGACGUAUCACAUCGUCCUCCCCCACCACGCCCACGUCCGCCCCAUCCCCAACGCUCCAAGACGGAGUCAAACCGUUCUUUUCCGCCCGGCGUCUCGAGAAUUCUUGAUUUCCAAUUUUCACGACGCCAUUAAUACGAAAGGACGACGACGAUCACUGCAAAAACGUUUAAAGGAAAAUUGGGUAUAAUGUAAUAUAAUUAAUUAUUUACAAUAAUGGUAAUUCUCAAUGUAAUUAUUAAUCGUUAUUAUACCUUACAUUUAGAAUAAAAUUAAAUAGAUGUCUAUAAUACUUACCAGAUUCGGGGUAUUACACAGGCAACACUUUGAUUACAAAUAACAC